AAAUCUUGAAACAUUUCCUGGCGACAUUUUGCAUCAUUCCCAGUAAUCUACUCAACCAGCUUAACAUUCAUGUACGCAAUAAACCAAACAAAUAAUUCCAUGAUCACUUCACUCCAUCAAACACCAUUUCUAUUACUCAAUCUUGAUUUCUCUUCAGAUAAGAUUAUUUUACUCGAUGCAAUCACAGAGUCUUCCUCCUAUUUCUAACCUCUUUACAGCCCCAUCAACAAUGAUCCUCACAAGCUCAACUACUUCUCACACAAUGUUAGUCACAUCACACGACAAUAGGCCUUCCCUAAUGGUUCUCGUUCCUUCUUCAUUUGAUGAUGAUUCAAAAAUCGAGACCAUACCCUUUAUUUCUCUUAAUUUGUUGCAGUAUCUUGGGGUAGGCUACCGAUGGAUCACCAUGUUUCUUGCUCUUGGAUGUUAUGCUUCCCUACUUAUACCUGGUUUUAUUCAAGUUGGAUAUCACUAUUUUUCUUCUUGUCAAGUACUUAGAGAUAUUGCUUAUGGUGAUCAACCGAGAAAUAGGCUUGAUCUAUACCUACCGAAAAAUAAGAACGGGCCAAAGCCAGUUGUUGCAUUUGUAACAGGUGGAGCUUGGAUCAUUGGUAACAAAGCUUGGGGUUCUCUUCUAGGUCAACAGUUAUCAGAAAGAGACAUUAUAGUGGCAUGCAUUGACUGCAGAAAUUUCCCUCAGGGAACUAUCGGCGACAUGGUUAAGGAUGUUUCUCAAGGAAUCUCUUCCGUGUGCAACAACAUAGCUGAAUAUGGAGGUGAUCCUAGAAGGUAUAAUUUGCUUGACCUGGUUGAUCACUUCCAUAGUCGAGGUCUAUACCGUUCAAUUUUUCUAAGCAUAAUGGAAGGGGAUCAAGGUCUAAAACAAUAUUCACCUGAAGUAAUGGUACAAGAUCCAAACAUUAGGAAUGCCGUUUCUCUCCUACCUCCUACUAUCCUUUUUCACGGAACCGCAGAUUAUUCUAUUCCUUGUCACUCCAGGAUCCAAUGAGAGGCGGUAUAGAUGAUAUGUUAGAAGAUAUAAUUUCAAUAAUUCAUGGUGAAGAUUCUGAAACCAUCAAACAAAUGCACCUCCGAGGAAACACCUUGUGCCUGAAUUCAGGUUGAAGUUGGCUUGUACUGUGUGACGAUAUUUAUGGGUGCAACGAGAUUUUUAGAGGAUAUGACCAACAUAGCUACUAAGUUACUAGAUUAAUUUUCUAAGUGCUUAGCUUAAUCACUUCUAUCUAAUGCGAGAUAAUUCAUCAUCCUCUGGAAACAGCUUUCACAGUCUUGUAAAUACAACGUUUGGUAUAAGAAUACUUCAUGACCUAAACAGGUCUGCCGACCAAUGUGUAUAUAUAUAGAGUGUAGCAGGUAAUUAAAGAAGUGCUUUUAAUUUGUUAGUAGGCGUUUGGCUAUAGAAACCAAAAAAAAAAAUCGCUUUUUUUGGAAUUUGGAGUUGGAGUUGGAGUUGGAGUUGGCCAUAGUUUUUGCAAAUAGUAUUUUUUGUUGAAAUGUACUUGUUUUGAUUGUGAAAAGUGAAAAACUUGAAAAGUUUUUCUUGUUUUCCAAAUUCCAAAUACAACUUGAAAUUGUAUUUGGAAUUUUCAUGGCCAAACACUAAUUUUUGAAAAAAGUGAAAAAAAAUUCCGGAAAAAAGUGAAUAAUUCUUAUGGCCAAACGGGUCCCAAUAGGUACUCCCGCCGGUCACUUUUACUUGUCACGUUUCGCAUCCCAAGAGUCAAUUUGACUAAUCUUCGGAGCUAAAUUGGAUUAGAUUAUUUUAAUAUUUUAAAAUUAAAAUUUAGAUGUUCGAAAACUAUACGAAAAACUCUAAGUUGGAAUUCAUCUCAUAUUAAUAUGAUGAAGAAAUACAUCUUAAAAUGUUGGUCAAAGUCCAUAUAGUUUGACUCUCGAGAAGCGAAACAUGAUAAGUAAAAGUGAACGGAGGGAGUACUCUCAUUGCCUCAAAUUAUGUGAUACCAUGUGUAUUUCAGUAGUCAAACUUUUUAAUUUUGACCAUGAAUUCGGACAUGAAAUUUUAAAUUUUUUGAAAUAAAAUAACUAUUCAAAGUAUUAUAGGUCACAAUAAUUAAUCAUUCGAAAUAUGUUAAAGG